rnacentral:rRNA from 1 species
UGCCCCAUAGUCUGGGAUACCACUUGGAAACAGGUGCUAAUACCGGAUAAGAAAGCGGAUCGCAUGAUCAGCUUUUAAAAGGCGGCGUAAGCUGUCGCUAUGGGAUGGCCCCGCGGUGCAUUAGCUAGUUGGUAAGGUAAAGGCUUACCAAGGCGAUGAUGCAUAGCCGAGUUGAGAGACUGAUCGGCCACAUUGGGACUGAGACACGGCCCAAACUCCUACGGGAGGCAGCAGGC